rnacentral:tRNA from 1 species
GCCUGGGUGGCUCAGUCGGUUAAGUGUCUGACUUGGGCUCAGGUCAUGAUCUCGCUGUCUGUGAGUUCGAGCCCCACAUCGGGCU